UACAGAGGUCUCAAGCGUUGUUCGGAAUCACUGGGCGUAAAGGGCGCGUAGGCGGGGAGGUAAGUCGGGUGUGAAAUCCCUCGGCCCAACCGAGGAACUGCGCCCGAGACUGCUUCUCUUGAGUCCCGGAGAGGAAGAUGGAAUUCCCGGUGUAGCGGUGAAAUGUGUAGAGAUCGGGAGGAACACCGGUGGCGAAGGCGGUCUUCUGGACGGUGACUGACGCUGAGGCGCGAAAGCGUGGGGAGCAAACGGG
rnacentral:rRNA from 1 species